UACGUAGGGUGCGAGCGUUAAUCGGAAUUACUGGGCGUAAAGCGUGCGCAGGCGGUUUUGCAAGCCGGAUGUGAAAUCCCCGGGCUUAACCUGGGAACUGCAUCCGAUACUGGAUGGCUUGAAUCCGGGAGAGGGAUGCAGAAUUCCAGGUGUAGCGGUGAAAUGCGUAGAUAUCUGGAGGAAUACCGGUGGCGAAGGCGGCAUCCUGGACCGGCAUUGACGCUGAGGAGCGAAAGCUAGGGGAGCAAACGGG
rnacentral:rRNA from 1 species